AUUGAACGCUGGCGGAAUGCUUUACACAUGCAAGUCGAGCGGCAGCGCGGGGCAACCCUGGCGGCGAGCGGGCGAACGGGUGAGUAAUACAUCGGAACGUGUCCUUAAGUGGGGGAUAGCUCGGCGAAAGCCGGAUUAAUACCGCAUAAGCUCUGAGGAGGAAAGCGGGGGCUCCGUAAGGACCUCGCGCUGUUGGAGCGGCCGAUGUCGGAUUAGCUAGUUGGUGGG
rnacentral:rRNA from 1 species